CAAAACUAUACAUAUGAUCUUUAAAAAAAUUUUUUUUACAUUUAUUUAUUUUAGAGAGACAAAGACAGAGCACAAGUGGCGGAGGGACGGAGAGAGAGGAAGACAUAGAAUCUGAAGCAGGCUCCAGGCUCUGAGCUGUCAGCACAGAGCCCAACCUGGGGCUCGAACUCACAAAAGUGAGAUCAUGACUUGAGCCGAAGUCAGAUGCUUAACCGACUGAGCCACCCAGGCGCCCCAAAACUAUACAUAUUAUCUUAAAAUGGGAAUGAGGAAUAGAUAUUUUCAAAAUUCUUUUAGGAGCUGUAAGAAAAAAAGUUUGUACUCCACAGGGGGCCUUGUGGCAGGAACCGAGCACUAUAGAGAAGCAGCGCCACCUUGUGGCUAGUUGAGAGGCUGCAGCAGAAUGAGCAAAGAGUCCUAGAAAGAAGGUAAGUCUGGGGACAAGAGUUGGGACUCUAGAGGCUUUGUCCACCUCCGUAUGAGAGUCUCUCUCCACUGCACUUGCAGCUAUGGCCCCCGGGAUCCAGCCACAACAAACACAACAAAUAGGAACCAGAAGUCAGUCUAUAUGAACAGGUUAUAUCUUGUGUUAAAUAACAGUAUAAAUUGUUGCCAGGAAUGGAAGGACCAGCCACAUCAUAAACAUGACAUUGUUCCAGUCCCUAAGACUCCACAUUUGCAAUCGGAGAUGGGUUCACACUUUGGAAUCUGAAGCCCCCUGGAAACUCCGUGACUCCCUAUGGAGCCUGGAAUGCUAAAGACAGAAGUGAACUCUGUGACUCUCUAACUGGUGAAAGCUGCCCAGGACCCUUCCAGAAUGAAGCAGAGCAAAGUCCAGAAGAUGAAUGUCUCCUAAAACUUAGGAGCAGGUAAACCCUCUUCAAAGUAUUCAGAAUUGCUCCUUCCCUGUUCCAUUAGUGCCUUAGCCCCUGACCAAGGCCUGUGAGGGUAGCUAUUAUCUACCAUCGGCUGGGAACUUUACAUGUCCAUGGAUCUCUAACUUCCCAUUACAUUGUAAAAUAGAGCAAGCCUGCAAAAAAGUAUCAGGACAAACGUGUGCAUAGAUGAACCUCACAAACAUGCUCUAAAUGAAAGAAGCCAGUCGCAAGAGGCCACCGGUUGUCUGCUUCCAUUUAUGUGAAAUACCCAGAAGAGGCACUUUAGAGAUAGAAAGUAGAUGAGUGAUUGCCAGAGGCUGGGGAACAAGGUGGGGAGGGGUGAAUACCUGCUAAUGGGCAGAGUUUCUCUUUGAGGUGACAUAUUCUAAAAUUAGAUUUGUGUAGGGGCGCCUGGGUGGCUCAGUGGUUAAACUCCCAGCUUCGGCUCAGGUCAUGAUGUCCCGGUCUGUGAGUUUGAGCCCCUCAUCGGUUCCGUGCUGACAGCUCAGAGCCGGAGACUGGAUUCCGUAUUUCUCUCUCUGCCCCUCCCCUGCUCACACUCUGUGUGUGUGUCUCUCUCUCAAAAAUAAAUAAACAUUUAAAAAAAUUAAGUAAAAAAACGAAAAAAUUUACAGAUAAAAACAAAAUUACACUGUGGUCAUGAUUACACUACGUUGAAUAUAUUAAG
rnacentral:lncRNA from 1 species